CUCCCUACGGGAGGCAGCAGUGAGGAAUAUUGGUCAAUGGGCGGAAGCCUGAACCAGCCAAGUCGCGUGAGGGAAUAAGGCCCUACGGGUCGUAAACCUCUUUUGCCGGGGAGCAAGGGCGGGGACGUGUCCCGGCCCGGAGAGUACCCGGAGAAAAAGCAUCGGCUAACUCCGUGCCAGCAGCCGCGGUAAUACGGAGGUGGCAAGCGUUGUCCGGAAUUACUGGGUGUAAAGGGAGCGCAGGCGGGAAGCCAAGUCAGCUGUGAAAACUACGGGCUUAACUUGUAGACUGCAGUUGAAACUGG
rnacentral:rRNA from 1 species